AGAAUCAACGCUGGCGGCGUGCCUAACACAUGCAAGUCGAACGAGAAAGUGGAGCAAUCCAUGAGUAAAGUGGCGACCGGGUGAGUAACACGUGACUAACCUACCUUCGAGUGGGGGAUAACCUCGGGAAACCGGGGCUAAUACCGCAUAAUGCCUUCGGGUUAAAGGAGCAAUUCGCUUGAAGAGGGGGUCGCGGCUGAUUAGCUAGUUGGCGGGGUAACGGCCCACCAAGGCGAUGAUCGGUAGCCGGCCUGAGAGGGCGCACGGCCACACUGGAACUGAAACACGGUCCAGACUCCUACGGGAGGCAGCAGUGGGGAAUUUUGCGCAAUGGGGGAACCCUGACGCAGCAACGCCGCGUGGAGGAUGAAGUCCCUUGGGACGUAAACUCCUUUCGACCGGGACGAUAAUGACGGUACCGGUGGAAGAAGCCCCGGCUAACUUCGUGCCAGCAGCCGC
rnacentral:rRNA from 1 species